CGGGCCUUCUUUUCCCCCGCGCGCAGCGCCCUUCCCGGGGCAGGGCUCGGCGGCGGGUGCAGCUCGGCUGGCGGUGGUCCGGCGUCCUGGUGGCGGGGGCCGGCGGCUGGCGCGGUGGUGGCGCUGCCUCUUGGUGGCGUGGUGGCCUGGUGGCGCUGGUGGCCGGCGAUGCGCCCCCGGCCCAGAUCUGGGCCCUUAGGGCCCCAUCUGGGUCCUAGCGGGCCGGCGCCGGCGUGGCCUUGCUGUCUACGGCUCGGUGUGGAGGAGGAGCGGCUCGGAUGUGGGCGGCGGCGCCGAUGGCGUGCCGGCAGCAACGCGAGGGCGGGAGCUUUACGGGCCCACGAGGGCUCGGCCGGGCCUGUGGGCUUACGGGCCUGGUGUGCUCCUGCUAUUGCGUCCGGACGGCUACCGUCGCUGACGGUGGAGGUGGGGCCCUCCCGCGUGCCGACGGUGCUGCUGCCCUAGUCCCGGCUCUGAUUCUUCGCCUUGUUGUCCUCACUUCGCGGUGUCGUGGUGAGACGGCGUGGGGGCCUCUUGACCGUGUUGGCGCUGGGUGGUGGUUGGUUUGGUGGCUGGCUCCGGAGCGCCCGAGGUGCGGGUUGGGAUCGGGGGAAACCCCUGUCGGCUUGGCCGACACCGGCGCGGUGGCGCCUGUGGGUGCUGCCUGACCUUCCGGGAGGGCGUCGGCGGCUACCCUUCCUCUCGCCUCGUCGUGUACCGGGGGAAACCCUUGGCAGCAGCGUCGUCAUCGUCGCGAUCCUUCUUGGAGGUGUUGAUAGGUGCCGGCGCUUCGGAGUCUUGGAGCCUAGUGGAAGAUCCCGGUGGGCGCAGCGUUCGCGAGGCUUCUUCGUUUUCGUUGAUCCGCCGUUGUUCUUUUGCUCUUUCUCUGUCGUUUCUUUUGGGCGUGACUGUGCUGCUUCCGCCCCAGCACCUAUCUUCGUACGGCUUGGUUGGUUGCUUUGUAUACAAAGCGGGGGGAAACCCUUUUUCGGCAAGUGGUAGGCAGUGUGAGCAGAUAUACUGUUGACUAGCAAAACCACCUGCCGCUUGGAGGAGGAUAGGGUUUCCAGGUUAGAUCUGUGCUCGGGAGGGAAGUGCGCCGCCAUGGCGAUGGAGCAGAAGCUGAUGAAUACUGGGCAAUACAGGCAAGAAAGGUUCCUUGCUUUAUUAGAAAGUGCGAAUAAUGGGGAGCUAUUCUACAGCGAUGAGCCGAGUGCUCUAGAAACCGUCAAUGAAGGAAGCGAGUCAGAUAUAUAUUCAGGUUCAGAGAACAUGCUGUCAAAUGUUCAUGCAUGGCAAACAAAUGGUAGUGGCAUUGUUAAAGCGACAGAUUUGGCUGGGCCUGAGGGUCUGCGGCUUAUCAGUGGGUUGAUUGAGCCUAUUGAACCAGACAAGGCCGACAAAGGAUGCCUACAAAUUUCAGAGACCGCGGGAGCAGAGCAGAGUUCUGAAAGUGAUACUACUUGCGUUAGAAGGCAUCGGCGAGGAGCAAUGCCUGAUGAGAGAACUAUACAAGCAAAGAGGGUUACAACACUUGAAACUGCAAUCAGGGGUUUUGCUGAAAGGAAAACAGCUUCUGUCAUUACACCAACACUAGGAUUGAGUUAUGAUUCAUUGACAGAAGCUUACGACUUUUACAACCUGUAUUCUUGGGAAUGUGGUUUCGGCAUACGUUACGGAAGAGCAAAAAUAAUGUGAAAGGAGCCAGGUGUAUGCAGGGGAAACCGAAUAAGGAGAACAACAGUUCAUGCAGAGCAAAAUGUCGUGCAACGGUGAGGCUACUAAGAACUGAUGACGGGGGUGGUAUAUAUCCGAGAACAGGACAGAGCACAAUCAUGUGUUAACAAUCAUUUCCAGAGCACUAUUUUUGCUGGUGUUCUUAUGAGGGACGAGCAGUCAGAAAGUUUUGAACAGGUUUUCCGUGAGUUUGUGAAGAUGAUGGGAGGAAAGACCAAGCUAGGGCGAUGGAGAUUGCUAUUGAGAAUGUUUGGCCGGAAACAACACACCGUUGGUGCAAGAGAGUUUGGGUUAUCAUCAUACAAAGAAGAGUGACUUCCGAGCAGAAUUCCAUAGAUUGGUGAACGACAUGCUAACUAUCGAAGAGUUUGAGAAGGGGUGGGUGGAGAUUAUGAAGAAAUACAGUUUGCAGAGCAAUACAUUCCUCAUACAAAUAUUUGAGGUGAGGCGGAAGUGGGCAAAGCCAUAUUUUUCUGGAAAAUUUUGUGCGAAAAUGACGAGCACACAAAGGAGUGAGAGCGCAAAUCACAUGCUGAAGAAUUAUGUUCCUCCAGCAUGCCCAAUGAAUCUUUUUGUCAAGUAGUAUGCAAAAGUACCGUUUGAUAGAGAGCAAGAAGAAGGUUUCCAAGAAAAGAGGACCAAAUUGGCAGGGGUAGUUCUAAAAGUUAACAUACCAAUUGAACGCCAUGCAACCACGGUGUAUACUCAGGCCAUGUUUGAGCUGUUUGGAAAAAGUCUUUACUACUCAUGUUCUUAUUACAUCGAAGAAUUAGUUCCAGGGAGUGAGUACCUGGCAACACACGUGAAGGCGGGGUCGAGGGAGAAAUGGUACAAGAGCAGAUACAAGGUGGUGGUUUCAGAAUUCAACGAUUUUUUCAGUUGUGAGUGUUGACUCUUUGAGCAUAUGGGGAUGAUUUGUUUCCAUGCACUAAAGGUGAUGAUAGUGUUGGGAUUGAAUGAGAUACCAAGGAAGCACAUACUGAAAAGAUGGACAGUAGAUGCGUGUGAUACCCUUCCAGAACAUCUGAAGCAUUAUCAAAAAGAUGUAGGCCUACCUGAUUGCACAACUUUCAGACACAAUGCUAUGUACAUCUCUGCUCUGGAAUUGGUUAUGAUGGGUGAUAGCAAUCCCAAGGAUUUUGACUAUGUCAUGAGCGGGCUAGCAGAAUUGAAGAAGGGUGCUUUGCCACUAAGUAAUCUUAAAGAUGGAAUGAGUCUAAUUGAAAAAAAGAAGGCAUGUAAGUCUUCUUUGUUGCUAAAUCUAUUGCUUCAAAGGUAGUCAGAAGCAGAUUAUUGAUGAGGAAGCUGCAUCAAGUGCUGGGAAAAUUGAAUGGAGAAAUGCAAAAGCAAGAACGAUAGUAGGGGAGGGGCAAUCUUCAGUUCAUGCUAAUGGUACAAUUCAAGCAAUUUCGGGUUCGUCUACUAUCCAGGGGGCGACCUGAGCACGGCUGAUUCAAACAUUGUUGUAACUUCAAGAAGCAUGGAUAUAGAAAGCGACAUGUCCAUGUUACCCCCUAAGAAGAAACCAAGGAUGAGAGGUCAUCCGAAAACUGCAAGAGACAAGCCAAAUUACGAAAUAAAUGACAAGCGAUCGGGGUUUUGCACCAUUUGCCGUGGGAAGGGGUACAAAAGAACUAUAUGCCCUCAAAGGGGCAACGAACCGCAGAAGCCCAGGAAGAUUCCGACAUGUACAAAUUGUGGCAUAGCCGGUCAUCAUAGGAAUACGUGUUCAGAAGUGUUGUACUCUACAUUGGAUGGGGUGCACUCUGUAGGAUGCAUCUGAAGUAAUUAUGUACUUCUAAUUGAAUCUUUUUUAAACAUUUGGACAAGUUUGUGUUGUAAAACAUCUGGAGACAAAAAAUGUUGAAGUUAUGUUACUUUUUUUA